GACGAACGCUGGCGGCGUGCUUAACACAUGCAAGUCGAACGGAAAGGCCCUGCUUUUGUGGGUCGCUCGAGUGGCGAACGGGUGAGUAACACGCGAGUAACCUGCCCUUGACUUUGGGAUAACUUCAGGAAACUGGGGCUAAUAUCGGAUAGGAGCUCCUGCUGCAUGGUGGGGUUUGGAAAGUUUCGGCGGUUGGGGAUGGACUCGCGGCUUAUCAGCUUGUUGGUGGGGUAGUGGCUUACCAAGGCUUUGACGGGUAGCCGGCCUGGGAGGGUGACCGGCCACAUUGGGACUGAGGUAGGGCCCAGACUCCUACGGGAGGCAGCAGUGGGAAAUAUUGCGCAAUGGGCGGAAGCCUGAUACAGCGACGCCGGGUGCGGGAUGACGGCCUUCGGGUUGUAAACCGCUUUCGCCUGUGACGAGGCGAGAGUGACGGUAAUGGGUAAAGAAGCACCGGCUAACUACGUG
rnacentral:rRNA from 1 species